GCUAGUGUUAAUCUCGCACUUGGAGCACCCAUACGAGUACCCGGUUACUCAUUACGUCUGCUUCGGGAAGGUCUGAGAGUAAGCAUGUGGAAAGGCCUCAGCAAGGUCCCCUCUUGAACUCGGGGGAUUUCGCUACCAGAAAACGUGCGUGGCACGAUUUGAAGCGGGUCUGUCCAAAGGUCGUCGUGGCGCCAUCAACAAUUCAUCGCCUUAGAUGAGCUUGUUGGAAUCAUGGUGUAUCGGACGACUUUGGCCAGGUCCGCCUCAAUUGAGAAGCGAAUUGCUAGCAUUUUCAGUACAAUCUGCGAGCUGUGGCGAUUUGGCUUUGGUCCGAUGGUGUUGGCCCCAACGCCCCAAGACUAACCGAGAUCGCUGCAGAACUCAAUUCAGACUAGUCUAACGCUAGC
rnacentral:RNase_P_RNA from 3 species